AGAAAUUUAUUUCUCACAGUUCUGGAGGAUGGGAAGUCCAAGAUCAAGGUGCCAGUAGACUUGGUAUCUGGUGAGGGCUUGUUUCCUGAUUUAUACACAGUGCCUUUGUGCUGGUUCCCCACCACUUUUUCAUUUUCAGAUCAAACAUAACUGUCUUCAGAGUAUAAAUCCUCUGAAGCCUGCCCUUCUUCCAUCCAGUCCCUUGGGUGGCAGGUAUUAAAUGACUACUCCAUGUUCUCCAUAGGGAGGCAGGAUGCCUUGGCAGCAGAGCACACUGUUGUCAGUACUCAGAAGCGUCUGGAAGCCACCCUCAUCUUAAAAUAAAAGAAUCAAGAUUGAGCUUGGAAAGACAAAAUGUAAAAUCAGUGCCUGGAAAAAUAGGCCAAGUCACCUUAAGAGUCAGAAUAGUUCCAUGAAUAUAUCAAUCAUUUGCAGUGUUGAGUGGGGACGUAGCACAGCUGGUCAACCAGCCACAAGACUAUGGUAAUGACCAUCCAGCACAUCAAGGAGAAAGGGCGACUGCACUGAGCACUUGGCUGCUGUGGUUCCAACAGAAUGUAGACCUAUGAGGCGAUAGGUGCAUCCAGCUGAUUAUAGUUCAAGGGCAUAAAACAUGCAGAUUUUUUAACUUACCAAGCAACCACUAAUGAUAAUUGGGACCUCCUGUAGGCCCCCAGAGGGAGAGUGCACCAGCUAAGAGCCAAGAGCCAAGAGCACUGCUUGAGUUUCUUCAGUGGUUCUGGAUCUUAAAAAUGGGCUUGGUUGCUCAGUUUACAAAUGAGUUCGGUUACUAUAAGUCUGCCCUUCUGAGACUGAACCUGCUGAGAGAACAAAUGAAUAAAAUUAAGCUUCUGAGCCGCAAGAUUGAGGGUUUGACUCUGAGCCAUGGAAAGUCCCUCUAGGCAAUGCCUCUGUAUAAGCAGCUGGAGAGAUAGCCUACAAAUCUUUCCUGAGCUCUGAACCUCUGAACCACCCUGCCAUUGCUCUUUGGUGAAAUCUGCUCCUACUCUUUCUGACAUAAACUAACACAAA
rnacentral:lncRNA from 10 species